CUUAUAUAGUUUAAACAAAACUCUAGAUUGUGAU
rnacentral:tRNA from 1 species